rnacentral:rRNA from 1 species
GACGAACGCUGGCGGCGUGCUUAACACAUGCAAGUCGAACGAUGAAGCUAGAGCUUGCUCUGGUGGAUUAGUGGCGAACGGGUGAGUAACACGUAAGUAACCUGCCCCGAACUCUGGGAUAACUGCUGGAAACGGUAGCUAAUACUGGAUACGACCAACGAAGGCAUCUUCUGUUGGUGGAAAGAAUUUCGGUUCGGGAUGGACUCGCGGCCUAUCAGCUUGUUGGUGAGGUAACGGCUCACCAAGGCGACGACGGGUAGCCGGCCUGAGAGGGGAAUCGGCCACACUGGGACUGAGACACGGCCCAGACUCCUACGGGAGGCAGCAGUGGGGAAUAUUGCACAAUGGGCGCAAGCCUGAUGCAGCAACGCCGCGUGAGGGACGACGGCCUUCGGGUUGUAAACCUCUUUUAGUAGGGAAGAAGCGAAAGUGACGGUACCUGCAGAAAAAGCACCGGCUAACUACGUGCCAGCCGCCGCAGUAA